UUAAGGGCAAAUGGGUCAAAUAAUCGGAUCAUAUCUUCUUCCCCAAAUAAGAGGUAAUCGGAUCAUAUCGAUCGUAUUCCUCAUUCCUCAGAUCAAUCGGUCUUAGUACGCCAUCAUCGAUCGGAGCUUUGUUGUUCACCGCCUGCUCCAUCAACCGGUAGAUUUUUCUCGACCGACUUCAUCCCUACCUCGAUCCUCCCUAAAUUAGAGAUGAAGAUAAGGAGACUCAGCUCUCAUUUUGGAGUCCACUGUUGGAUCUGAGCUCUUUCUUGUUAAGGUGAAGUUGAUAAAAAAUCAGUGUCCAGCAAUGUUAAUUAAAAAGCAGUCAAGUAAACAAACCAUAUUGUAUUAUUCCUGGAAGAAAUUAAGGUAUAAAGUACAAUUAAAGUUGCUAUUAUAGAACUCCUAAAUUAAAACACAGACACAUAAAAGUAGCAACCAUGACCUAGUGACCUCUAAGGUGGUAGUGAAGCUCUAAAGUACCCUAGAUUGAUAAAUCUAUGUCCCACAGAUGUAAUUGUAAAUCUCAAUAUAUCAUUGUAGUCAUUAGUUUGUUUUAAUUGUAGUUUUUGUGCAACCAUAGAAAUCAUUCCAAAGUGAAUUCUCAAAAUGAGCUCUUUCGGUAUCACUUUAUGUAUAAAUAUUAAUUAAAGGCAUGAACUGUUUCAACUUUUUCUUUGCUCCAAGUUCCAAUCCACUUCAGUCCAAUCCAAUCCAAUCCAAUCCAGGGAAUAUGUCACAAUUCUUAUUAAGAGACACAUUGAAACGAAAGCAACAUACAAGUGUACGUUUCAUAAACAAACGCACAGAUGAUGUAAAAUCUGCCCCAUUAUCUACACCCGUAUUGUCGUCAUAAUCAUCCCGUACCACAUUAUCAUCUGUUGGUAAUGUAUCUGCCCCAACAUUUGUUUCACAUGUUGGUGCCACAUCAUCAACACAUGCAUCAUCCAUACCUACAUCAUCCAACCAGUCAUUCUUACCUACAUCAUCGACCCAAUCAUCUGUAUCUACAUCUAUCCAAUCAUUUACACAUGCAUCUACUACAUCAUCUGGUACCUAGAUCCACAACAAAUUGUAGUGAAUCGGUUGACGAAAAUGUUGGCGUUCAACAUCAAGGGUAUUUACUUGGAUCUACAGGACUGGAUGGGCGUCUAUAUAUUGGAGUGCAAGAUAAGGAGUUAUUUUCUUCGGGCCCAUGUUCUUCCGUUAUCUAUGAAUCCUUUGGUGAAAGAGCUGAUUUAAAUGGGUAUAGCUGGGCAACUUUAAGUGACGAGACAAAACUCCUUUAUUGGGACGAGUUUCAUGUAUGUAUCUCAUUUAUGAAAUUAUUAGGUACUUAUUAACUAAAAAACUCAUCUUUAUAUUUUGUAUUGUAGAAAAAGUGCCAUUGGGAUGAUGCAAAAACUCCGUUAGUCCAAGCUUGUUGGGAAAAUAAGGCAAAGGAAAGAUAUAAACAAUAUAUCUACAAUAUAAGCUCAAAAUGGAAAAAGUCGACUCUAAAAAAAACCUGUUAAUAUAACAUCAGAAGUGUGGACAUCCUGGACUGCAAGAUGGAAUACUGAAGACUUCAAGAAGAAAUCAGAACAAAAAAAAAUAGGCGUAGAGGUGUAGCUGAUGGACAAGCCCUUUCUACGCAUACCGGUGGAUCGGCUUCUCAUUCUAAAAUUGCUUCUGAUUUAAAGAAGCUUUGGGGACAUGAUCCGACACACCAUGACUAUUCUUGUAUACACACACUAAGAAUUACGAUGGAGUGACUUUUUUAGUUGACAAAGCUAAAAGAAUUCAUGAUGAUUUUAUGGAAUGAUGUGAUCGGUUGGAAGCAAUAGGAAUGGAAAUUGAUGAAGACAAACUAUUUUAUGAUGUUGUUGGGGGACAUGAUCGAAAAAAGAGAUUAUAUGGAUUUGGCUCAUAUGGAAAGUGCAUUCGUUCUAGUAAAGGAUCUUCUGAAAUGCACCGCGAACAAUACGAGGAUAAUAAUGCCGAGACAAAAGUCGAGAUUGAGAAUUUGAAGAAGUUAGUUGAGACGCAAUGCGAACAAUAUGAGGAUAUUCAACAAAAAUAUGAGGAUGUUCAGCAAAAAUAUGAGGAUGCUCAGAAAAAGAAUGUGGAGUUUCAGCAUAAAAAUGUGGAUGUUCAAGCUAAGUUUGAACAACAACUCGCACAAGCAGUGAAUGUCAUUAACACAUUGAGUGAAAAAGUCAAAAAUUUUAUUAAUCAAUGAUAGAAUAUUAUGUUGGAUUAGUGUCUACGUCCAUAACUAUUUUGGUAUGUACUUGACCCGAUGGUGCAUGGUCCUUUUGGGUUGCCUUCACCAAAGCAACUUGAUAGGAUGAAUUAUGGAGA